rnacentral:rRNA from 1 species
UUGCGAGUGGAAAGGGGGCACAGCUCAAUUGAGUGACUGGCCCCAGUGGCCGAAUUGUAAUUUGUAGAAGGUGCUUCGGGUGCGACGACGGUCCAAGUCCCUUGGAACAGGGCGUCCCAGAGGGUGAGAAUCCCGUACGUGGCCGAGGGUCAAACCCGUGUGAAGCCCUUUCGACGAGUCGAGUUGUUUGGGAAUGCAGCUCUAAGUGGGUGGUAAACUUCAUCUAAAGCUAAAUAUCUGCUGGAGACCGAUAGCGCACAAGUAGAGUGAUCGAAAGAUGAAAAGCACUUUGAAAAGAGAGUUAAACAGUACGUGAAAUUGUUAAAAGGGAAGCGCUUGCAACCAGACUCGGUCGCGGAAGUUCAGCCGUCCUUCGGGCCGGUGCAUUCUUCCGCGGCUGGGCCAGCAUCGGUUCCGGCGGUCGGACAAAAGCUUCGGGAACGUGGCUCUCUCCGGGGAGUGUUAUAGCCCGAGGCUCAAUGCGGCCAGCUAGGACCGAGGACCGCGCAUUCGCUAGGAUGCUGGCGUAAUGGUUGCCAGCGACCCGUCUUGAAACACGGACCAAGGAGUCGACCAACCGCGCGAGUGUUUGGGCGUCAAACCCAUGCGCGUAAUGAAAGUGAACGGAGGUGGGAGCCCUCGGGUGCACCAUCGACCGAUCUUGAUGUUUUCGGAUGGAUUUGAGUAAGAGCGUGAUUGGCCGGACCCGAAAGGCAAGUUGACUUUGCAAUCUAAUUUGAUCUCUGGCUGAUAUGUUUUUUAGAUGGUGAACUAUGCGUGAAUAGGGUGAAGCCAGAGGAAACUCUGGUGGAGGCUCGCAGCGGUUCUGACGUGCAAAUCGAUCGUCAAAUUUGCGCAUAGGGGCGAAAGGUACGUUUCGUUGAGUUUCCGGAAAGUUCCUCUUGGCUAACUUCAGUACAGACUAAUCGAACCAUCUAGUAGCUGGUUCCCGUCGAAGUUUCCCUCAGGAUAGCAGCAGCGGAGGUUUCAGUCUCAUGAGGUAGAGCAAACGAUUAGAGGCCUUGGGGUCGAUAGUGACCUUAACCUAUUCUCGAACUUCGAAUAUGUGAGAAGUCCUUGUUACUUAGUUGAACGUGGACAUUGGAUGUGCCGCUGCAUGUUCCCCAUUUUGGUAGCAGAACCUGCGGCAA